rnacentral:rRNA from 1 species
AGAGUUUGAUCCUGGCUCAGGAUGAACGCUGGCGGCGUGCUUAACACAUGCAAGUCGAACGAAGCACUCUUUUAGAUUUCCUUCGGGGAAGAAGAAAUUGUGACUGAGUGGCGGACGGGUGAGUAACGCGUGGGCAACCUGCCCCAUACAGGGGGAUAACAGCCGGAAACGGCUGCUAAAACCGCAUAAGCGCACAAGGGCCGCAUGGCCUGGUGUGAAAAACUCCGGUGGUAUGGGAUGGGCCCGCGUCUGAUUAGCUAGUUGGCGGGGGAGAGGCCCACCAAGGCGACGAUCAGUAGCCGACCUGAGAGGGUGGCCGGCCACAUUGGGACUGAGACACGGCCCAAACUCCUACGGGAGGCAGCAGUGGGGAAUAUUGCACAAUGGGGGAAACCCUGAUGCAGCGACGCCGCGUGAGCGAAGAAGUAUUUCGGUAUGUAAAGCUCUAUCAGCAGGGAAGAAAAAUGACGGUACCUGAGUAAGAAGCACCGGCUAAAUACGUGCCAGCAGCCGCGGUAAUACGUAUGGUGCAAGCGUUAUCCGGAUUUACUGGGUGUAAAGGGAGCGCAGGCGGUGCGGCAAGUCUGAUGUGAAAGCCCGGGGCUCAACCCCGGGACUGCAUUGGAAACUACCGAACU